GACGAACGCUGGCGGCGUGCCUAAUACAUGCAAGUAGAACGCACAGUUUAUACCGUAGCUUGCUACACCAUAAACUGUGAGUUGCGAACGGGUGAGUAACGCGUAGGUAACCUGCCUGGUAGCGGGGGAUAACUAUUGGAAACGAUAGCUAAUACCGCAUAAUAUUGAUUAUUGCAUGAUAAUUGAUUGAAAGAUGCUAUUGCAUCACUACCAGAUGGACCUGCGUUGUAUUAGCUAGUAGGUGAGGUAACGGCUCACCUAGGCGACGAUACAUAGCCGACCUGAGAGGGUGAUCGGCCACACUGGGACUGAGACACGGCCCAGACUCCUACGGGAGGCAGCAGUAGGGAAUCUUCGGCAAUGGACGAAAGUCUGACCGAGCAACGCCGCGUGAGUGAAGAAGGUUUUCGGAUCGUAAAGCUCUGUUGUAAGAGAAGAACGGGUGUGAGAGUGGAAAGUUCACACUGUGACGGUAUCUUACCAGAAAGGGACGGCUAACUACG
rnacentral:rRNA from 1 species